GAAGGCACAGCUUAGGGGCAGAGAGCAUGCCUAGCAUGCAUGAGGUCCUGGGUUCAACCCCCAGCACCUCCA
rnacentral:tRNA from 1 species